GAUUUUACAUAUCCCGGUACUGUCUACGUAAUCGGUUGCUCCCUGGUCUCCCUCCCUCUCUUCUAUGGAGAGCCUUUCUUCUUCUGCUCCGCCUGCCCAAGAAUCCAAUACCACCGCCAAUUCAAAUCCGACGGUGGAGAGUCUUCCGUUCUCAGAACCGUUUGAAAACGGAAACCUAAUUAUGACACGUUACAAGGAGAAGGAGAAGAAGAAGAAGAAGAGGGAGAAGAAGAAGAAAAAAGCCGAUGAAGACGUUGUUAUGAUGUCCUCUUCUUCUUCUCGUUCGGCGGCUCUUCCUUCUAAGCACAGAAGUACGCG
rnacentral:misc_RNA from 1 species